AAGUUCCGACCUGCACGAAUGGUGUAACGACUUGGGCACUGUCUCGGCCAUGAGCUCGGUGAAAUUGUGGUAUCGGUGAUGACGCCGAUUACCCGCAGCGGGACGAAAAGACCCCGUGAACCUUUACUACAACUUUACAUUGGCUUUAGCUGUAUCAUGUGUAGGAUAGGCGGGAGGCAGUGAAGCGGCGUCGCUAGGCGUUGUGGAGCCACCCUUGAAAUACCGCCCUUGAUACAGGUGGAGUCUAACCCGGAAGGGAACAGUGUAUGGUGGGUAGUUUGACUGGGGCGG
rnacentral:rRNA from 1 species